UACAGAGGGUGCGAGCGUUGUCCGGAAUCACUGGGCGUAAAGGGCGCGUAGGUGGCGACCCAAGUCAAUGGUGAAAGCUCGAUGCUCAACAUCGAGUCGGCCACUGAUACUGGGUUGCUCGAGCACUGUAGAGGCAGAUGGAAUUCCGGGUGUAGCGGUGGAAUGCGUAGAGAUCCGGAAGAACACCGGUGGCGAAGGCGGUCUGCUGGGCAGUUGCUGACACUGAGGCGCGACAGCGUGGGGAGCAAACGGG
rnacentral:rRNA from 1 species